GAGAGAUUGAGAACUCUGAGAAAUACAAAUCAAGGCACUGACUAGAAUUCACAGCAUCUCCUGUAAUGGAUAUUAUUUUGUCUCCUAUUCCCAUUUACCGAAGGCAGAUUGGUUGAAUAACAAGCUGUUGCUGUUCUUUUCACUGAAAUCGUUUGAUUUGUUUGUACUUUAUAAGGCAGCAGCUUGCAAACAGGAAGAGUCAGCCAGCCAUUCUGACUGUACCACGACCAUCUACCAUGUGAUAGUGCCCUGGAAUUAAGACUCCUGAUUGGUGAUGAACGUUCCAAGUUAAUUCGAGCCUCAAAGCGAGCGUCAUCCAGCAUUUCACCGGGAGCCGCACUGAACUGCCCGGGAGCCGCGGUUUGGCCACCUCUACAAAUGUUCUACAAAUCGUGGUGCACUGCAGAAAGAUGUUCUUACCCAUGCUGCGGUUGCCGAGAUACUGUCUAACACUGACAUUUCCCAGUUGAUUUGGAAUCACUCGGUUGAUCUGGAGGCAAACAGCUGCAUUGUCA